rnacentral:rRNA from 1 species
AUUGAACGCUGGCGGCAUGCCUUACACAUGCAAGUCGAACGGCAGCGCGGACUUCGGUCUGGCGGCGAGUGGCGAACGGGUGAGUAAUACAUCGGAACGUACCCUGUUGUGGGGGAUAACAAGUCGAAAGAUUAGCUAAUACCGCAUACGACCUGAGGGUGAAAGUGGGGGACCGCAAGGCCUCACGCAGCAGGAGCGGCCGAUGUCUGAUUAGCUAGUUGGUGGGGUAAAGGCCCACCAAGGCGACGAUCAGUAGCUGGUCUGAGAGGACGAUCAGCCAGACUGGGACUGAGACACGGCCCAGACUCCUACGGGAGGCAGCAGUGGGGAAUUUUGGACAAUGGGGGCAACCCUGAGCCAGCAAUGCCGCGUGUGUGAAGAAGGCCUUCGGGUUGUAAAGCACUUUUGUCCGGAAAGAAAUCGCGCUGGUUAAUACCUGGCGUGGAUGACGGUACCGGAAGAAUAAGCACCGGCUAACUACGUGCCAGCAGCCGCGGUAA